rnacentral:rRNA from 1 species
UGGGGAAUAUUGGACAAUGGGGGCAACCCUGAUCCAGCCAUGCCGCGUGAGUGAAGAAGGUCUUCGGAUUGUAAAGCUCUUUUGCCAGGGACGAUAAUGACGGUACCUGGAGAAUAAGCCCCGGCAAACUUCGUGC